rnacentral:rRNA from 1 species
UACAGAGGUCUCAAGCGUUGUUCGGAUUCAUUGGGCGUAAAGGGUGCGUAGGUGGCUGCGUAAGUCGGGUGUGAAAUCCCGGGGCUCAACCCCGGAACUGCACUCGAUACUGCGUGGCUUGAGUACUGGAGAGGAGAUUGGAAUUUACGGUGUAGCAGUGAAAUGCGUAGAUAUCGUAAGGAAGACCAGUGGCGAAGGCGGAUCUCUGGACAGUUACUGACACUGAGGCACGAAGGCCAGGGUAGCAAACGGG